rnacentral:rRNA from 2 species
UGCAGUCGAACGCGUUGGCCCAAUUGAUUGAUGGUGCUUGCACCUGAUUGAUUUUGGUCGCCAACGAGUGGCGGACGGGUGAGUAACACGUAGGUAACCUGCCCAGAAGCGGGGGACAACAUUUGGAAACAGAUGCUAAUACCGCAUAACAGCGUUGUUCGCAUGAACAACGCUUAAAAGAUGGCUUCUCGCUAUCACUUCUGGAUGGACCUGCGGUGCAUUAGCUUGUUGGUGGGGUAACGGCCUACCAAGGCGAUGAUGCAUAGCCGAGUUGAGAGACUGAUCGGCCACAAUGGGACUGAGACACGGCCCAUACUCCUACGGGAGGCAGCAGUAGGGAAUCUUCCACAAUGGGCGCAAGCCUGAUGGAGCAACACCGCGUGAGUGAAGAAGGGUUUCGGCUCGUAAAGCUCUGUUGUUAAAGAAGAACACGUAUGAGAGUAACUGUUCAUACGUUGACGGUAUUUAACCAGAAAGUCACGGCUAACUACGUGCCAGCAGCCGCGGUAAUACGUAGGUGGCAAGCGUUAUCCGGAUUUAUUGGGCGUAAAGAGAGUGCAGGCGGUUUUCUAAGUCUGAUGUGAAAGCCUUCGGCUUAACCGGAGAAGUGCAUCGGAAACUGGAUAACUUGAGUGCAGAAGAGGGUAGUGGAACUCCAUGUGUAGCGGUGGAAUGCGUAGAUAUAUGGAAGAACACCAGUGGCGAAGGCGGCUACCUGGUCUGCAACUGACGCUGAGACUCGAAAGCAUGGGUAGCGAACAGGAUUAGAUACCCUGGUAGUCCAUGCCGUAAACGAUGAGUGCUAGGUGUUGGAGGGUUUCCGCCCUUCAGUGCCGGAGCUAACGCAUUAAGCACUCCGCCUGGGGAGUACGACCGCAAGGUUGAAACUCAAAGGAAUUGACGGGGGCCCGCACAAGCGGUGGAGCAUGUGGUUUAAUUCGAAGCUACGCGAAGAACCUUACCAGGUCUUGACAUCUUGCGCCAACCCUAGAGAUAGGGCGUUUCCUUCGGGAACGCAAUGACAGGUGGUGCAUGGUCGUCGUCAGCUCGUGUCGUGAGAUGUUGGGUUAAGUCCCGCAACGAGCGCAACCCUUGUUACUAGUUGCCAGCAUUAAGUUGGGCACUCUAGUGAGACUGCCGGUGACAAACCGGAGGAAGGUGGGGACGACGUCAGAUCAUCAUGCCCCUUAUGACCUGGGCUACACACGUGCUACAAUGGACGGUACAACGAGUCGCGAACUCGCGAGGGCAAGCAAAUCUCUUAAAACCGUUCUCAGUUCGGACUGCAGGCUGCAACUCGCCUGCACGAAGUCGGAAUCGCUAGUAAUCGCGGAUCAGCAUGCCGCGGUGAAUACGUUCCCGGGCCUUGUACACACCGCCCGUCACACCAUGAGAGUUUGUAACACCCAAAGUCGGUGGGGUAACCUUUUAGGAGCCAGCCGCCUAAGG